rnacentral:rRNA from 1 species
UACGAAGGGGGCUAGCGUUGCUCGGAAUUACUGGGCGUAAAGGGAGCGUAGGCGGAUAGUUUAGUCAGAGGUGAAAGCCCAGGGCUCAACCCUGGAAUUGCCUUCGAUACUGAAGAUCUCGAGACCGGAAGAGGUAAGUGGAACUGCGAGUGUAGAGGUGAAAUUCGUAGAUAUUCGCAAGAACACCAGUGGCGAAGGCGGCUUACUGGUCCGGUUCUGACGCUGAGGCGCGAAAGCGUGGGGAGCAAACAGG